rnacentral:rRNA from 1 species
GACGAACGCUGGCGGCGUGCCUAAUACAUGCAAGUAGAACGCUGAAGCUUGGUGCUUGCACCGAGCGGAUGAGUUGCGAACGGGUGAGUAACGCGUAGGUAACCUGCCUGGUAGCGGGGGAUAACUAUUGGAAACGAUAGCUAAUACCGCAUAAGAGUAGAUGUUGCAUGACAUUUGCUUAAAAGGUGCAAUUGCAUCACUACCAGAUGGACCUGCGUUGUAUUAGCUAGUUGGUGAGGUAACGGCUCACCAAGGCAACGAUACAUAGCCGACCUGAGAGGGUGAUCGGCCACACUGGGACUGAGACACGGCCCAGACUCCUACGGGAGGCAGCAGUAGGGAAUCUUCGGCAAUGGACGGAAGUCUGACCGAGCAACGCCGCGUGAGUGAAGAAGGUUUUCGGAUCGUAAAGCUCUGUUGUAAGAGAAGAACGAGUGUGAGAGUGGAAAGUUCACACUGUGACGGUAUCUAACCAGAAAGGGACGGCUAACUACGUG